rnacentral:sRNA from 1 species
UACGUUAUUGAAAACGGCCGUAAAUAA